CUGGCAACCAGGAUGCACCACCAAGGAGGCUGGGCUGCGGAGGAGAACCCAGCCUUUCUAAAGCCAAGGCACACCAGAAUUGAGACUAUUUUGGUAGCACCCUGAGGGUGAUAUACGAGGCCCCUGGAGUGUAGAAGGACCCACUGAGGAUCCAGCAACCCUGGACAGAAUGGCCUAAGUUUAGAUAGGACCAGUGCUCUGUCGUGAAUGGAGUGAGAACCAAAACCUCCAGGAUGGCACCAUUCUCUCUGGACCAGAGAUGGAAGGUCAACACCUCAGCCUCCUCCUUCACACAGCAGCAUUUUCUCUUCUGCCAGCGAGAGCUGCAUCUGUCAGAGAGCCAGGGAGUAGUGACAGAUGACAGCCGCUCAAUGGUGUUCCAGUUAGGGGUGUUUCCUGCAAUCACAGGGAGUUUAAAAUAGCACCCUCGCCUUCUCUUCCCUCCCCCGAGUGAUGGGAUGCAGGCCCACAGCUACCAGGCUUCCUGCAGGAGAAGCUUUGCUGUUAUCCUCAGAGCUCUCCAAGAAAAUAAAUAAUAGCAUGUGCUCA
rnacentral:lncRNA from 1 species